CUCACUCUGGGGAAAACCAGGAUGGAAAGAAAGUUGCCACCACCCAGAAUCUUCUGGCUCUGCAUCCUGUCUUCCUCUGUCAAGAUACCAGCAAUAUGCCUGAUAGGAGCUGUCCUCCAGUCUGGGUCUCUGGGUGAAAAGCCAAAGCCAGAUCAAUAACAGAAAUACAAGAUAAGCCCCAAUAAAAAGGCAACCGUCACUGA